rnacentral:rRNA from 1 species
UACGGAGGGUGCAAGCGUUAUCCGGAUUCACUGGGUUUAAAGGGUGCGUAGGUGGGCAAGUAAGUCAGUGGUGAAAUCUCCGGGCUUAACCCGGAAACUGCCAUUGAUACUAUUUGUCUUGAAUACUGUGGAGGUCAGCGGAAUAUGUCAUGUAGCGGUGAAAUGCUUAGAUAUGACAUAGAACACCAAUUGCGAAGGCAGCUCGCUACACAUAUAUUGACUCUGAGGCACGAAAGCGUGG